UACAGAGGUCUCAAGUGUUGUUCGGAUUCAUUGGGCGUAAAGGGUGUGUAGGUGGCGCUGUAAGUCGGGUGUGAAAUUUCGGAGCUUAACUCCGAAACUGCAUUCGAUACUGCGGUGCUUGAGGACUGGAGAGGAGACUGGAAUUCAUGGUGUAGCAGUGAAAUGCGUAGAGAUCAUGAGGAAGACCAGUGGCGAAGGCGGGUCUCUGGACAGUUCCUGACACUGAGACACGAAGGCCAGGGGAGCAAACGGG
rnacentral:rRNA from 1 species